UACGUAGGUGACAAGCGUUGUCCGGAUUUACUGGGCGUAAAGAGCGCGCAGGCGGUCGAUCAAGUCGAGUGUGAAAGCCCCCGGCUCAACUGGGGAGGGUCAUUCGAUACUGAUCGACUCGAAGGCAGGAGAGGGUAGUGGAAUUCCCGGUGUAGUGGUGAAAUACGUAGAGAUUGGGAAGAACACCAGUGGCGAAGGCGGCUCACUGGCCCGAUACUGACGCUGAGGCACGAAAGCGUGGGGAGCAAACGGGG
rnacentral:rRNA from 1 species